UCCUUUGAAGUGCUUCGGGUUAACACCACCAAAAACUAGUUCACCACCUUUUUUUGCAUUUGGAUCCCCAUUCAACCAAAACGAAAACACCUUCUCACCGAUAAGAUUUUGCUCCACCAUUUUGUACCUGUGAUUUUAUGAUGGAUUGGUCAGUUAAAGGAAAAAAAAAAAUCCAUGUCCAACUCUAACAAUGAAAUUAGAUACAGAUUAAAUGACAAAAGAAAGGGUUAAACACACCAUAAUGGCACAGCAUCUGCAACAGAGAUCUCCUGAAAUCCAAGUCCCAGUAUUCCAUCGAACUUUGCUGACAGAAAGGAAAGACUUCCUUCUCGGGUAGCUUCAAUGAAAUCCUACAGUUUCAUGUAGUAACAUUUAUAAGUAUUGCUACUACAAGUUUGUACAAAAAGAGUACUCACCAGCUGCUUGACAACAGCGCUGCCAACUUUAACACUAUCUUGACUGAAGUAACCAGAUAUUGAUCCAGAUCCAUAGGUUAUUUUACAUGAUGUUCCUGAUCAACAAGAUAUUUACGAACUUAUGAUUAAACUAACAUUACAUGACAUACAAUAAGGUAUAGAAUAGCAUUUAAUUCACAGUACCACUAUAAUCAACAUGAAUAAUCACAAAAAGGAAUUACCAUUUUUGACAUAUGUUCUGGAUUUCUUUGCCUUGUACCAAUUAUGGGUAUAGCAAGCAAGCUGCGAGAGAAAACUAGUCAAUAUGAUAAGCUUAUGUGUACAUAUUUCUAAAGACAUAAAGUUAAGUUGAACUCACAGAAAAGUAGCAAUUUGAUGAUGGAACCCAAAGGUUGGAACUACCAGUAUCAAACACAACAGUAAACGUCUGAGGCGGUGUGCCAAUUCCAAUCUCACCAAAAUACUGAGCAUCCAAAUAAUUUUUCAAAGGUACAAUAUCUUCACCUUUUCCGUUACUAAUAAACUGAUUAUGCUCACCCAUAAUUGGCCU
rnacentral:lncRNA from 1 species